rnacentral:rRNA from 1 species
UAAGCCUGCGAAGGUGGCCUGUGAGGGUUGCUGGAGGUAUCAGAAGUGCGAAUGCUGACAUAAGUAACGAUAAAGCGGGUGAAAAGCCCGCUCGCCGGAAGACCAAGGGUUCCUGUCCAACGUUAAUCGGGGCAGGGUGAGUCGACCCCUAAGGCGAGGCCGAAAGGCGUAGUCGAUGGGAAACGGGUUAAUAUUCCCGUACUUGGUGUUACUGCGAAGGGGGGACGGAGAAGGCUAUGUUGGCCGGGCGACGGUUGUCCCGGUUUAAGCGUGUAGGCUGGUUUUCCAGGCAAAUCCGGAAAAUCAAGGCUGAGGCGUGA